ACGCUCGACACCUACGUGAGGCAGCAGUUGGGAAUAUUGGACAAUGGAGGAAACUCUGAUCCAGUGACGCCGCGUGAAGGAAGAAGGUCUUCGGAUUGUAAACUCCUGUUGUUGGGGAAAAAGAGGAUGGUACCCAACAAGGAAGUGACGGCUAACUACGUGUCAGCAGCCGCGGUAAUCUGAGCGGGCUGGCAAGGC
rnacentral:rRNA from 1 species